UACGUAGGGUGCGAGCGUUAAUCGGAAUUACUGGGCGUAAAGCGUGCGCAGGCGGCGCGUUAAGACAGGUGUGAAAGCCCCGAGCUUAACUUGGGAAUUGCGCUUGUGACUGGCGUGCUGGAGUGUGGCAGAGGGAGGUGGAAUUCCACGUGUAGCAGUGAAAAUGCGUAGAGAUGUGGAGGAACACCAAUGGCGAAGGCAGCUCGCUGGGACGUUACUGACGCUGAGACGCGAAAGCGUGGGGAGCAAACAGG
rnacentral:rRNA from 1 species